UCCAGACUCCUACGGGAGGCAGCAGUGGGGGAUAUUGCACAAUGGGGGGAACCCUGAUGCAGCAACGCCGCGUGAAGGAAGAAGGCUUUCGGGUUGUAAACUUCUUUUGACAGGGAAGAGCAGAAGACGGUACCUGUCGAAUAAGCCACGGCUAACUACGUGCCAGCAGCCGCGGUAAUACGUAGGUGGCAAGCGUUGUCCGGAUUUACUGGGUGUAAAGGGCGUGUAGCCGGGCUGACAAGUCAGAUGUGAAAUCCGGGGGCUCAACCCCCGAACUGCAUUUGAAACUGUUGGUCUUGAGUAUCGGAGAGGCAGGCGGAAUUCCUAGUGUAGCGGUGAAAUGCGUAGAUAUUAGGAGGAACACCAGUGGCGAAGGCGGCCUGCUGGACGACAACUGACGGUGAGGCGCGAAAGCGUGGGGAGCAAACAGGAUUAGAUACCCCCGUAA
rnacentral:rRNA from 1 species